AGAGUUUGAUCCUGGCUCAGAAUCAACGCUGGCGGCGUGCCUAACACAUGCAAGUCGCACGAGAAAGUGGAGCAAUCCAUGAGUAAAGUGGCGUACGGGUGAGUAACACGUGACUAACCUACCCUCGAGUGGGGAAUAACCUCGGGAAACCGGGGCUAAUACCGCAUAACAUCGCGAGAUCAAAGCAGCAAUGCGCUUGAGGAGGGGGUCGCGUCUGAUUAGCUAGUUGGUAGGGUAACGGCCUACCAAGGCGAUGAUCAGUAGCCGGCCUGAGAGGGCGCACGGCCACACUGGAACUGAAACACGGUCCAGACUCCUACGGGAGGCAGCAGUGGGGAAUUUUGCGCAAUGGGGAAAACCCUGACGCAGCAACGCCGCGUGGAGGAUGAAGUCCCUUGGGACGUAAACUCCUUUCGAUCGGGACGAUUAUGGCGGUACCGGAAGAAGAAGCCCCGGCUAACUUCGUGCCAGCAGCCGCGGUAAUACGAGGGGGGCAAGCGUUGUUCGGAAUUAUUGGGCGUAAAGGGUGCGU
rnacentral:rRNA from 1 species